GACGAACGCUGGCGGCGUGCUUAACACAUGCAAGUCGAACGGUGAAGGGACUGGUUUUGCUGGUACUGGAUGAGUGGCGAACGGGUGAGUAACACGUGAGAAACCUGCCUCCUCCUUCUGGAUAACCGCAUGAAAGUGUGGCUAAUACGGGAUAUUCUGGGUCUGUCGCAUUGUGGGCCUGGGAAAGAUUGCGCCUUUUUUGGUGGUUUUGGUGGGGGAUGGGCGCGCGGCCUAUCAGCUUGUUGGUGGGGUGAUGGCCUCCCAAGGCGGUGGCGGGUAGGCGCCCUGAGGGUGUGGGCGGUCACACUGAGACUGAGACGCGGCACAGACUCCGAGGAGGGGCAGGAGUGGAAAAUAUUGCACUAGGGGCACAAGCCUGAUGCAGCGGCGCCGCGUGAGGAAUGGGGGCCUUCGGGUUGAGAACCUCUUUCGCGAGAGAAGCAGGCCUGCCUGUUUUUGUAGGUGGGUUGACGGUAGCUAGAUAAGAAGCGCCGGCUAACUACGUG
rnacentral:rRNA from 1 species